AGCAGCCGCGGUAAUUCCAGCUCCAAUAGCGUAUAUUAAAGUUGUUGCAGUUAAAAAGCUCGUAGUUGAACUUCGGGGUCUACCCAUUGGUCAGGCUUAAUUGUCUGCACUGGUGAGAUGGAUCUCUACCUUCUGAGGAACUUUCAUGCCAUUUAUUUGGUGUGGUUGGAAAUCAGGACUGUUACUUUGAAAAAAUUAGAGUGUUUAAAGCAGACUAUCGUCUGAAUACAUUAGCAUGGAAUAAUGAAAUAGGACGGACUGAUUCUAUUUCGUUGGUUUCUAGGAUCACCGUAAUGAUUAAUAGGGAUAGUUGGGGGCAUUAGUAUUCAAUUGUCAGAGGUGAAAUUCUUGGAUUUAUUGAAGACUAACUACUACGAAAGCAUUUGCCAAGGAUGUUUUCAUUAAUCAAGAA
rnacentral:rRNA from 1 species